UUUUUAGCAUGGAAUAAUGGAAUAGGACGUGCGUUUCUAUUUUGUUGGUUUCUAGAGACGCCGCAAUGAUUAACAGGAACAGUCGGGGGCAUCAGUAUUCAGUUGUCAGAGGUGAAAUUCUUGGAUUUACUGAAGACUAACUACUGCGAAAGCAUUUGCCAAGGAUGUUUUCAUUAAUCAGUGAACGAAAGUUAGGGGAUCGAAGACGAUCAGAUACCGUCGUAGUCUUAACCGUAAACUAUGCCGACUAGGGAUCGGGCGAUGUUCUUUUUUUGACUCGCUCGGCACCUUACGAGAAAUCAAAGUUUUUGGGUUCUGGGGGGAUUAUGGUCGCAAGGCUGAAACUAAAGAAAUUGACGGAAGGUCACCACCAGGCUGAGCUGAA
rnacentral:rRNA from 1 species